UAUGUAUAAAAUUUACUAAAAUAGUAUUGUUAUAUUAUAUAAACAAAACAAUUGUUUUACUUAUAAAUUCCGUAAAAUACUAAAAGAUGCAUGUUAAAGUAGAUUUUAUAAAACAAAACAUGUAAAUAUAAAUUAUCGUAAACAUAUUUAUUUUUUAUAAAUAAUAAAUAUAUUUUAAAAAUGUAUUAAAGGAAAAUGUACAAAUUAAAGAAAAACAUAUUUCAAAAGAAGUUAUCUAUUUGAUUAUUUCAUAUUGUUAUUUUAUUGUAUCUAACUCAAAAAUAUAUUCGUAAGUAAUAAAAAAUUAAUAACAAAGUAAAAUAUACUCCCUCUGUUUUUA
rnacentral:lncRNA from 1 species